rnacentral:lncRNA from 1 species
GAGUUGUUUAUCACUGGUUGAAUAAUUUGUUUUAUAGCCAAAGAAAAUAUUGGGCCAUUAAUUUUAUUUAAGCUUUGUUCAUUCUUUUUGAUAGUCUUAUUUGGAUAUAUAGAUUUUAAGAACUUAACAUUUUUUGAUAUAAACACUUUCCCAGUAUCUAACUCCAAACAUCAAUAUCCUUUUUGAGAAUAAGCAUAACCUAUAAAACACAUUCAGAUGUUUUGGAGUGAAUUUUGAUAUUCCCUUACUUUUAAACGUUCGGAAGAAAUUAUAAUUUGGAUCCCUAUUAAAAAUCAAAUGAAAAGGAG